rnacentral:sRNA from 1 species
ACUUGCAAGUUUUAAUAUAUUACCUUUAAAAAAUAAAUCGUUCUGCGGUAUACCGCGGGUUAAAAUCUAGUUAACAUAUAACGGAGAAAAUCACUCAUAUGAUAAGUGAUAACAGUUGAUUGAAGAAUAAAAU